rnacentral:rRNA from 1 species
CGGGUGAGUAACGCGUAGGUAACCUGCCUUGUAGCGGGGGAUAACUAUUGGAAACGAUAGCUAAUACCGCAUAACAAUGGGUGACCCAUGUCAUUCAUUUGAAAGGGGCAACUGCUCCACUACAAGAUGGACCUGCGUUGUAUUAGCUAGUAGGUGAGGUAACGGCUCACCUAGGCGACGAUACAUAGCCGACCUGAGAGGGUGAUCGGCCACACUGGGACUGAGACACGGCCCAG